rnacentral:snRNA from 1 species
AGCUUUGCGCAGAGGCGAUAUCGUAACCGAUGAAGUUCUACUGAGGUGCGAUUAUUGCUAGUUGAAAACUUUAACCAAUCCCCCGCCAUGGGGACGUGAAAUACCGUCCACUACUAUGUUCGUUAUAUGUUAGAAAAAGCCAAUGAAAUAU